AUACGGAGGAUGCGAGCGUUAUCCGGAUUUAUUGGGUUUAAAGGGUGCGUAGGCUGUGCGUUAAGUCAGCGGUUAAAUCGUGGGGCUCAACCCCAUUCUGCCGUUGAUACUGGGUGGCUUGAUUGCGGUCGAGGUUGGCGGAAUUCGUUGUGUAGCGGGGAAAUGCAUAGAUAUGACGAAGAACACCGAUUGCGUAGGCAGCUGACCAGACCGCAAAUGACGCUCAUGCACGAAAGUGCGGGGAUCGAACAGGAUUAGAUACCCUGGUAGUCCGCACAGUAAACGAUGAAUACUUGUUUUCGGCGAUAUAAUGUCGGAGGCAAAGCGAAAGCGAUAAGUAUUCCACCUGGGGAGUACGCCGGCAACGGUGAAACUCAAAGGAAUUGACGGGG
rnacentral:rRNA from 1 species